CCGUGGUGGAGUUCCGGGCUCCGGGCUUCCCCUCCGCACUUCCCACUCGUUUUCGGGUCUCUUGCAUUCAGAUCCCCUGAAAUCCUUGACCCUUUUUUUGCCCCUAUGGACCUUGUUUAAGUGACCCGUCCCCACCCAGCUUCUCCGGGUCUCUGUUCCCGGACCCCCGCCUAUCCAGCCUUCAUCUUGGUCCUCCAGAUGCUGCAAUUCGGAGCUCUCUGGUGUGCCAUGUGCUGCAGCCAGGAAGAGAGCAGUGGACCCAGCAGACUAGGGAACGUUGCAGACCCUUGCUGGUGUGUAUGUAGAAAAAUGCAGAUUCGCCAACAGAACUUUGCCACGGUUUUGAAAGAGACCGCCACUCAUUCAGUAAACGGAGAUUUUGAAAAGCUUUCUUGGUAUUGAGACCAGGUGGCUGGACAGUUGGCCAGGAAGGCUUCUGUCGCCUUGCCAUGCAUGCACAUUCAUAGUCUAGGAAUGGUGUGGCCUGGUGACUUUGUCGCUGUGUGUCUGGGUGAGCCAGGAG